UCAAGUUAUUAAGGGUGCAGGGCGGAUGCCUUGGCACUAGGAGCCGAUGAAGGACGUGAUAAGCUGCGAUAAGCUUCGGGGAGUUGCACGUAAACUUUGAUCCGAAGAUUUCCGAAUGAGGAAACUCACUUAGAGUAAUGUCUAAGUAUCAUUAAGUGAAUACAUAGCUUAAUGAGGGGAACUCAGGGAACUGAAACAUCUAAGUACCUGAAGGAAGAGAAAGAAAUUCGAUUCCGUAAGUAGUGGCGAGCGAACGCGGAUUAGCCCAAACCAAUAAAGUUUUCUUUAUUGGGGUUGCGGACAUAUCAUAACGAAGAGGUAUCGUAAUUGAAGAGGUUUGGAAAGACCCACCACAGAAGGUAAUAGUCCUGUAUGUUAAACGAGAAGACUUUAGAUAUGAUCCAGAGUACCACGGGACACGUGAAACCCUGUGGGAAGCAGGAGGGACCACCCUCCAAGGCUAAAUACUACCUAGUGACCGAUAGCGUAUAGUACCGUGAGGGAAAGGUGAAAAGAACCCCGGGAGGGGAGUGAAAUAGAACCUGAAACCCUGCACUUACAAACUGUGGAAGCACAUUUCUUGUGUGACCGCGUACUUUUUGUAGAACGGGCCAACGAGUUACGUUAAGUAGCAAGGUUAAGCACUUAAGGUGUGGAGCCGUAGCGAAAGCGAGUUUUAACUGAGCGUUCAGUUACUUGACGUAGACCCGAAACCGGGCGACCUACCCAUGAGCAGGAUGAAGCGAAAGUAAAAUUUCGUGGAGGUCCGAACCCACGAGCGUUGAAAAGCUCGGGGAUGACUUGUGGGUAGCGGUGAAAUUCCAAUCGAGCCCGGAGAUAGCUGGUUCUCCCCGAAAUAGCUUUAGGGCUAGCCUCAAGGUGAGAGAUACGGAGGUAGAGCACUGAAUGUCCUAGGGGGUAUUGCACCUACCGAAGACUAUCAAACUCCGAAUGCCGUCAUCUUAUACUUGGGAGUCAGACUGUGGGUGAUAAGAUUCAUAGUCGAAAGGGCAACAGCCCAGAUCGUCAGCUAAGGUCCCUAAAUGUAAGUUAAGUGGUAAAGGAUGUGGGAUUGCACAGACAACCAGGAUGUUGGCUUAGAAGCAGCCACUCAUUCAAAGAGUGCGUAAUAGCUCACUGGUCGAGUGAUUCUGCGCCGAAGAUUUCCGGGGCUAAAACUUACUACCGAAGCUACGGCAUCAGUAAUGAUGGGUAGGGGAGCUUCCCAUACGGGUUGAAGCAUGACCGUAAGGACAUGUGGACAGUAUGGGAGUGAGAAUGUUGGCAUGAGUAGCGAGAUGUGGGUGAGAAUCCCACAGGCCGUAAACCCAAGGUUUCCAGGGGAAGGUUCGUCCGCCCUGGGUUAGUCGGGACCUAAGCUGAGGCCGAAAGGCGUAGGUGAUGGACAACAGGUUGAUAUUCCUGUACUACCGAUAACCGUUUGAGAGAAGGGAUGACACAGUAGGAUAAGCUAAGCACACUGUUGGUUAUGUGUGCCCAAGCAUUGAGGCAGUCAAAGUAGGCAAAUCCGCUUUGAUAAUGCUGGGAUGUGAUGGGGAGCGAAAUUUAGUAGCGAAGUAGCUGAUUUCACACUGUCAAGAAAAGUCUCUAUCGAGGUUAAAGGUACCCGUACCGCAAACCGACACAGGUGGGUGAGGAGAGUAUCCUAAGGCCAGCGAGAGAACUGUUGUUAAGGAACUCGGCAAAAUGACCCCGUAACUUAGGGAUAAGGGGUGCCACCAUCAGGUGGCCGCAGAGAAUAGGCCCAAGCGACUGUUUACCAAAAACAUAGGUUUCUGCUAAGUCGCAAGACGAUGUAUAGGAGCUGACGCCUGCCCGGUGCUGGAAGGUUAAGGGGAUCUGUUAGAGCAAUCGAAGCAGUGAACUUAAGCCCCAGUAAACGGCGGCCGUAACUAUAACGGUCCUAAGGUAGCGAAAUUCCUUGUCGGGUAAGUUCCGACCCGCACGAAAGGCGUAACGAUUUGGGCACUGUCUCAACAACAGACUCGGUGAAAUUGUAAUUCCGGUGAAGAUGCCGGAUACCUGCGACAGGACGGAAAGACCCCAUGGAGCUUUACUGUAGCUUGACAUUGGGUCUUGGUACUACAUGUACAGGAUAGGUGGGAGGCUUUGAAACCAGGACGCCAGUUUUGGCGGAGCCAUCCUUGGGAUACCACCCUUGUAGUACUGGGACUCUAACCAUAGGCCAUGAAUCUGGUCUUGGGACACUGUCAGGUGGGCAGUUUGACUGGGGCGGUCGCCUCCCAAAAGGUAACGGAGGCGCUCAAAGGUUCUCUCAGUACGGUCGGAAAUCGUACGUAGAGUGUAAAGGCAAAAGAGAGCUUGAUUGCAAGACAUACAGGUCGAGCAAGGAUGAAAAUCGGACUUAGUGAUCCGGUGGUUCUGCGUGGAAGGGCCAUCGCUCAACGGAUAAAAGCUACCCUGGGGAUAACAGGCUUAUCUCCCCCAAGAGUCCACAUCGACGGGGAGGUUUGGCACCUCGAUGUCGGCUCAUCACAUCCUGGGGCUGUAGUAGGUCCCAAGGGUUGGGCUGUUCGCCCAUUAAAGUGGUACGCGAGCUGGGUUCAGAACGUCGUGAGACAGUUCGGUCCCUAUCCGUCGCAGGCGUAGGAAAUUUGAGAAGACCUGUCCUUAGUACGAGAGGACCGGGAUGGACGUACCUCUGGUGUACCAGUUGUUCUGCCAAGGGCAUGGCUGGGUAGCUAUGUACGGAAUGGAUAAGCGCUGAAAGCAUCUAAGCGCGAAGCCAACUUCAAGAUAAGAUUUCCCACCGCAAGGGUAAGACCCCAGAAAGACUAUCUGGUUGAUAGGUCGAAGGUGUAAGUGCAGCAAUGUAUUUAGCUUAUCGAUACUAAUAGGUCGAGGACUUGACCAA
rnacentral:rRNA from 1 species